UCGCUGCUACCGAUUGAAUGUUAUAGUGAGUAUCAUGGAUAGUUUUAAGAGUUUUAAUUUCAGAACUUUUGAGAUUAAAAGUGACACAAACUUGAAUAUUUAGAGGAAGCAA
rnacentral:rRNA from 1 species